UACAGAGGUCUCAAGCGUUGUUCGGAUUCAUUGGGCGUAGAGGGUGUGUAGGUGGCGCGCUAAGUCGGGUGUGAAAUUUCGGAGCUUAACUCCGAAACUGCAUUCGAUACUGGCGUGCUUGAGGACUGGAGAGGAGACUGGAAUUCAUGGUGUAGCAGUGAAAUGCGUAGAGAUCAUGAGGAAGACCAGUGGCGAAGGCGGGUCUCUGGACAGUUCCUGACACUGAGACACGAAGGCCAGGGGAGCAAACGGG
rnacentral:rRNA from 1 species